CCUAUGCUAUGUUUAGGCAAUGAAGCAUAAUGUUUUUUUGGGUGAACAAAAGAGAAUAAAAGGAAGGAGUAGAGAAUAAGCAAAGCAUUUGUUUAUCAUCUUUACGAGAAGAUAUUGUUGUUUUUGGUUGGUUUGUGUGUAGUUUCAAAAGAAAAACUUUCAUUGAGGACCCACUUCUAAGACCUGCUGCUACCAAUUUUUAGUAUGGCCUUAAUAUUCCUGAAUUUUGUGAUAUAACCAGAUUGGUAGUUAUGAUUUAUCAUCUCGGGAUACAUAACAUUGAUCAUCUUUUUGUUUGGUCCUGAUUGGAAAAUAUUUUUCAAGCACAUGAAAAAAUGAAGAAUGUUAGCACUUGGCAAAUUAGAUGGUUAAGAAAUGGAUGACAGAUGCCAGAAAAUAGAAGCUUGUUCAAGUAAAAAAGAUCAGAGCUAUGAAGGUUCUUUUUGGUGCUAUAUAGAAAAGAUUUUGUAAUGGUGAAUCAGUCACAUAGACUGUCAGAUUAGAUGUUGAAGGAAUUUGCAAUUUCAGCCGUCCAUUUCGGUGAUGUAUGGAAUGCCAGAGACACUGGUCUGUAAACGUAGAUGUCAUCUUGUGCCUGUUCGUGAUGUGGGCAUCAAAGCCUAGUAAAACGUGAUUGUUGAUUGGUGUUCCAGGUGCCUAAAAGCUUCUUUUUACUGUUUCUUUGAUAUAAACAGAGACGUCAACAUUCCACAGAUCAGGGGCUCAUCUCCAAGGAUUCUUGGGUACAGAUUGUGAACACCUGCAUGUCUUGUUUUCUAGUUUCUACCCUCAAGCAUUCAUCUUCUACCCUCAAGCAUUCAUCUUCACUGUAGAUGGUUUGUUGCUGCUGCCAAGAUUGUGAACCUCACAGCAUUCAAGAAUCUUCUCUGUAUAUAAGGAAAACUUCUUUCUCCAUUGUUUGA